UACGAAGGGGGCUAGCGUUGCUCGGAAUCACUGGGCGUAAAGCGCACGUAGGCGGCUUUUUAAGUCAGGGGUGAAAUCCUGGAGCUCAACUCCAGAACUGCCUUUGAUACUGAGAAGCUUGAGUCCGGGAGAGGUGAGUGGAACUGCGAGUGUAGAGGUGAAAUUCGUAGAUAUUCGCAAGAACACCAGUGGCGAAGGCGGCUCACUGGCCCGGUACUGACGCUGAGAUGCGAAAG
rnacentral:rRNA from 1 species